rnacentral:tRNA from 1 species
GCGACGGUGGUGGAAUUGGUAGACACGCAAGGUUGAGGGCCUUGUGGGCGUUAGCCCGUGAGGGUUCGAGUCCCUCCCGUCGCA